rnacentral:rRNA from 1 species
GCGUGAUGGCGGACGGGUGAGUAAUGCCUAGGAAUCUGCCUGUUAGUGGGGCGUAGUAGUGGGAAACUCGCGCUAAUACCGCACGUAGUGCGGGAGAAAGUGCCGUAGACCUUCGGGCCUCACGCUAACAGAUGAGCCUAGGUCGGAUUAGCUGGUUGGUGGGGUAACCAGUGAAAUAGGCGACGAUCCGUAACUGGUCUGAGAGGAUGAUCAGUCACCCGUAGACUGAGACACGGUCCAGACUCCUACGGGAGGCAGCAGUGGGGAAUAUUGGACAAUGGGCGACGUACCUGAUCCAGCCAUGCCGCGUGUGUGAAGACCGAUAGGGAUUGUAAAGCACUUUAAGUCGGGAGGAAGGGCUGUAGCCAUGCAGUCUUGACGUUACCGACCCGAUGAGAAUAAGCAUUAUGCUAACUUCGUGCCAGCAGCCGCGGCCUUGCGAAGGGUGCAAGCGUCCGUAGUAAUUACUGGGCGUAAAGCGCGCGUAGGUGGUUUGGUAAGUUGGAUGUGAAAGCCCCGCCUUGAACCUGGGAACUGCAUCCAAAUGCAGCUGGCUAGAGUACGGUAGAGGGUGGUGGAAUUUCCUGCCAGUGAGUGAAAUGCGUAGAUAUACCAGGGAACACCAGUGGCGAAGGCGACCACCUGGCAAUGAAACUGACACUGAAUGAGGUGCGAAAGCGUGGGGCGGAUGAUAGAUACCCUGGUAGUCCACGCCGUAAACGAUGUCGACUAGCCGGGUAGAUCCUUGAGAGCUUAGUCCAGCAGCUAACGCAUUAAGUCGACCGCCCGUGAUGGACGGCCGCAAGGUUAAAACUCAAAUGAAUUGACGGGGGCCCGCACAAGCGGUGGAGCAUGUGGUUUCGUAGAACUACGCGAAGAACCUUACCUGGCCUCUUGAUGACCUGCGAACUGGGUAGAGACCGGGGUGCCUUCGGGAGCGCAGAGACAGGUGCUGCAUGGCUGUCCGUGAUGUC